UUGACAGCCCUGAAAAAUGAAUUCUGAUCUAUCUUCAGAACAGGUACAGCAAGUCAGAAAUGCCACAUUUUUUCCCCCACAUUACUGUAUCAAUAAGUUUCAGCUGCUGUUCAAACAGACUACUUCUAGGAACAAAAGGACGAUUUAAUCUCCAUGUUCAUUCAGUUUUUGGCCUCU
rnacentral:sRNA from 1 species